rnacentral:misc_RNA from 1 species
UGGCCCAUUCUGAGAAAUGGA